rnacentral:rRNA from 1 species
GACAGAGGGUGCAAACGUUGUUCGGAAUUACUGGGCGUAAAGCGCGUGUAGGCGGCCCUGCAAGUCGGCUGUGAAAUCCCACGGCUCAACCGUGGAAGUGCAUUCGAAACUGCAGGGCUAGAGUCCUGGAGAGGAAGGUGGAAUGCUUGGUGUAGAGGUGAAAUUCGUAGAUAUCAAGCGGAACACCGGUGGCGAAGGCGGCCUUCUGGACAGUGACUGACGCUGAGACGCGAAAGCGUGGGGAGCAAACAGG